GAGGUGUUCAAUGUUGAUCGAUCCAAGGUCGUGCACAUAGGGUCUAAGACGGAAGAGAACUUCCUGCCCCUCUUGGAGCUUCUAUUUUAGAGGGAGACACGGCCAGACAGGUCUCGAACUCCUGGCCUCAAGUGAUCCGCACACCUUGGCCUCCCAAAAUGCUGGGAUUCCAGGCGUGAGCCACCGCGCCUGGCCUGUCCUAGGGAGAAUGAGCCUGAUGACUUUACCAUUUUCCACCUCUAAGAGCCAAUCGCAAAGGAGGCUGGCUGGCAUCUUGUGUCUGUCUAGCAUCUCUACCAGUUUCUGUAGAAAACCCUCAAGCUGUGCCAAGACGAUCAUGUCUGGACACAGCUCUUGGUGUCACGGGGUGUCUCCUCCUACUGCCUAUCGCCCUUUGCAGCCACCAGAAUAAUCAUGCAGGAGCCAGGGCCCCAUAUUAUCUACCGCUGUCCAUCUGCUCUCCAGCACAUCAGAGCAGCCCUUCCCCUGUGUGAGAUUCCUCUCCAGGGCAAGACUUGAAGGGAGCAUCAAGGUUGCAGUGGAAGAAAUAAAUUGGAAGUGGAGCUGG